AUCUCUGGAAAAAUAAUAACAACACAACAGAAACAGCAAAAAAAACAAUCUGUAGACUAGUAUCUUAUUUUUGUCGCCUUCAUCUCCAUCUCCAUCAUCAGCAUCAGCUUGGCGAGAGAAUGGAGCGCGACUUAAUAUUCAAACCAUCAUCGUGGUUGUCGUAGUUGUUUGUCGUGCUGCUGCGGCCGCGCGCCGCCGCAGCCGUUUCGUUAGUUGGUCGUCCGGUCGCGGUCGGCUUGAUCGGAUUUUGCUAAAAUCGUUCGAAAAGAGAACUUAAUUCAAGGCUCUUAACUUGUUCUCAAAUCGAAGGAUUUUUUUUUGGUUUGCUAAUGUUCGCGUAUCUACAUCUCUUUUUUUUAACCAGGCUCAAAUACAAGAUCUUCUCUGUUCGAGGUUUUUAGAUUUGUAUAAACGGAACGUGUAGCCGUGCGGUUAUUGGACGUACCCGUAACGGUUUUGCAAGAUAUGUAGAUAUAUGUUUACAAAUCUGAGCUUUCGUUUAAUAUAUUUAUUUGAAGCUGGCAGCUGAAUAAAUAGAUGGAAAUUGGUCGAACUCAGUUGACGAACAAAAUAAACAGACAUUUCCCGAACUAUCAACAUUUCCAAAAGAACUCCCUACUAACUAUUGCAGACAUGUCAAAAACAAAAGUGCAUCCGAUGAAAUUCCAGAAAUGACUGAAGAAACGAAACCAAGUUGUCUUGCGCCUUGGCUUUCUUUAGUGGCUGUUGGCUGGCUCACUGGCUGGCUGGCUGGCAGUGGUCGAUCGGCCGGCUGGUGUUAGCUGGCAUCUCAUCUCAGACAAGAUCUAGCUAAACAGGCAGGCAGCAGCAACAACGAUAUUAUACCUCAGCGAACAGCGAGGAACUCAAUUCAGACGCCAUCCCAUCCCAUAUAUUCCAUCCAAUCGAAUCCAGCAAGCAUCUACUUUGCUUCUUGCUUUUUGCUUCUUGCUAGCUAGGCCAGUCCGUCCAAAUUGAAUCAGACAUAUCAGAGUCUUGUUGUUGUUUAGAGACAAGAGAAAAGGAAAGAACAUAAUUAACUAAAAGUAAAAAUGUACCGAACAACAACAAUAAAUAAAAACAAAAGC